CUUCACAGGAAAAAAGCUUUAAGCUCCCCGGCAAUCAUAAGGACUUAAAGUCCAACCCAGGUGGAUGUGCACCUCGACCUGAAUCUUGCAGAUGCUGGCUGUUGCGUUCUUGGCUGCAGAGAGUAAAGGAUCACAAAGGCUGAUGAAAGUGCAGGAAAGAUCUGUUUCUCGUGUCGUUGAAGGUAGAGCACCGACUCAGGUGUCGGGGAAGGAGGAGAGAGGACGUUUGAAGAAGGGAGGCCGCGCGGGUGAGGGGAGCCCCGCGUGGAGCCCCUCUGCCGGCUGGCACGCCAACCGAAACGCCCCGGCUUCAGAAGGGACGAGUUCUGAACAAGGUUAACCCGAGGUGUUUUUUAAUGUUUUCACUUACAACGUGCUUCCAUAUCUCUUGUAAAACUCCUCGGCAGCUGCGAACCU